UAACCUGCCCAAGAGAUCGGGAUAACACCUUGAAACAGAUGCUAAUACCGGAUAACAACAGAUGAUGCCUAUCAACUGUUUAAAAGAUGGUUCUGCUAUCACUCUUGGAUGGACCUGCGGUGCAUUAGCUAGUUGGUAGGGUAACGGCCUACCAAGGCGAUGAUGCAUAGCCGAGUUGAGAGACUGAUCGGCCACAUUGGGACUGAGACACGGCCCAAACUCCUACGGGAGGCAGCAGAA
rnacentral:rRNA from 1 species